CACCUCUAGCAUUUCAAAUAUUAGAGGCAUUGCCUGCCCAGUGACCAAAGUUAAACGGCCGCGGUAUCCUGACCGUGCAAAGGUAGCAUAAUCACUUGUUCCUUAAUUAGGGACUCGUAUGAACGGCUAAACGAGGGUCCAACUGUCUCUUAUUUUUAAUCAGUGAAAUUGACCUUCCAGUGAAGAGGCUGGAAUAAUUUAAUAAGACGAGAAGACCCUAUGGAGCUUAAAUUAACAAACUUACUUGAGAUUUCACCACACCUAAUGGCACAAAAAUAAUACCCUAAAUUUAAAAUUUUGGUUGGGGUGACCUCGGAGAAUAAAAAAUCCUCCGAAAGAAUUAUAACUUAGACCAACAAGUCAAUGUAACCUUGAUUCCAAUUGACCCAAAAUAUUUGACCAACGGACCAAGUUACCCUAGGGAUAACAGCGCAAUCCUAUUUAAGAGUCCAUAUCGACAAUUAGGGUUUACGACCUCGAUGUUGGAUCAGGACAUCCCAAUGGUGCAGAAACUAUUAAUGGUUCGUUUGUUCAACGAUUAAAG
rnacentral:rRNA from 1 species